rnacentral:lncRNA from 1 species
CUGUUUGGAGGGCUAAUUUGUAGAGAUAAGUCUGGUUGUGCAGGGAACAGCUCCAUCAAUAAUUGAUCUCCCCACCUCCUUCUCUAAAUUUCCUUCUCCCAAGCCCUAUGUAGAUAUGUGUGUGUGUGUGUGUGUGUGUGUGUGUGUGUGUGUGUGUGUGUGUGUGUGUAGCUUGUUUAUGAUUCCCUCCUGUAUGUCUAUGAGCACUUUCUUCUUCCUUGUGCUGGGAAAUAACAGUGUGUGUUUGUAUAUAUGUAUUGUGUGAGCUAGUCAGCUAGCUUCCUUGGUGAUCUGAUUAGGGUUAGGGAUUUUCAGGUGUUGGAGGGAUUUCUGGGUAUUUUUAGUAGAUGGGUUUUGAUCAAUUUGUGUGGGGGUAGUUGCAGAGAGAUUUCACAUUGAGAUGAGAGAGAGAGAGAGAGGGGGAAGAAAUGACAAGUUAUGAAGUGAAUGGAUGUUUCUUUUGUGUGAAGUAUAUGUGAGAAAAUGACCCUUGAGGGGCUCUAUAGAAAGAGAAAUUAAGAGAGAGAGAGAGAGAGAGAGAGAGAGAGAG